GGUUUCUACGGAAGAUGAGUAAAGCUUGAAAAGAGGGAAGGAGGCACUAGACUACUAGAAGGAGAUACGUAAUGCAAUUUGCUCGCUUCUCUGAUUUGAACAGAGAUGGAGUCAUGCCAUGAGACUCCAAACACACUCCCGAGUGUACAUGAAAAAAUAAGAAAAAUAAAGAUUAGGAGCCAAACUAAUUGUAAGGAAAAUGAACGGAAAGAAAUACGUGCCACAUGAAUAUUCGAAUAUUAAAUUUUAAUGAAACUGCGAAAAUAAAUCAGCAUAUACCUAUUAGGAACAAACAUUUGGGAAUAAAUAUUUUGGGAUGUAAACAGCUUUUGUCUCAUAUAACAGGCAACUCAAUCCAAAU
rnacentral:lncRNA from 1 species